rnacentral:rRNA from 1 species
GACGAACGCUGGCGGCGUGCCUAAUACAUGCAAGUCGAGCGAAUCUUUCGGAACUUGUUCCGGGAGAUUAGCGGCGGACGGGUGAGUAACACGUGGGCAACCUGCCUGUAAGACUGGGAUAACACCGGGAAACCGGUGCUAAUACCGGAUAAUUCUUUCCCUCUCAUGAAGGAAAGUUGAAAGUCGGUUUCGGCUGACACUUACAGAUGGGCCCGCGGCGCAUUAGCUAGUUGGUGCGGUAACGGCUCACCAAGGCGACGAUGCGUAGCCGACCUGAGAGGGUGAUCGGCCACACUGGGACUGAGACACGGCCCAGACUCCUACGGGAGGCAGCAGUAGGGAAUCGUCCACAAUGGACGAAAGUCUGAUGGAGCAACGCCGCGUGAGCGAUGAAGGCCUUCGGGUCGUAAAGCUCUGUUGUUAGGGAAGAAUAAGUACCGGAGUAACUGCCGGUACCUUGACGGUACCUAACCAGAAAGCCACGGCUAACUACGUGCCAGCAGCCGCAGUAAAAC